ACAAUUUCUAUCGACUCCCUCCACCUACGGGGCGUUGACCAGCCUACUGGGCGUCGAUUGCCUCCGUAGGUGGGUCUGCCUUAGGCAGUUUUGGCCACCAAGAUGGGUCCUUCCUCAAGGACCCUUGGUUGGUCUUUGGGGAUGUUUUUCCAAACGGUUCCAACUCGAAUAUGAUUUUAUACAAGUUUAGGACCUCUCACAUCAAUUUCAUCUAAAACGGACAUGUAAAACUCCAUGAAACACACUAAGACACACAAGGUCGUUUCAAGGCAAACCUUUCGAACGUCAUGGACGUUUGACCUCCAAUAUUCAUGAAACUUUAACCACUACCUCCUAGAAACAUUAUAACCCAUUUUAGUAAUUCAAAACAUUAAGACACAAGAAUUAGACUCUAGUUUAACAUAAGUUGUUUUAAAGGUAUUACAGUUGAGAAGAUCAACAAUCUUUGUUCAUUUACUAGGAAGCUUUGUUAUUUAUUGAUGUUCAACGGAGAAGAAGAGACAUUGAAAAGGAGGUAGUACAUUUUCGAAGAGGAAGAGCAAAUUGAUCGAAAUUAGAGGAGAGCAAUACGAGUUUCGAGCUGGUGCAUCAAUUUGGUGAUGAAAUUUUACAUUUGGAUAUCGAAAUUGGAGAAAAAGUUAACAAGUUUUCCAUCACUAUGAAAUGGAUGUUGCAAGAAAAAAGAGAGAAUCAAGUAAAUUUUUCCAGAAAUCUUGUGUAUAUGGUAUUAGGAAGAAUUCAAUGAGAAUACAGAAAGGCUCUAUGAACAAAAUCCCUAAAGGUUAGUACUACAUGUCAGUCGAUAGUAUUUUAUUGCCUCUUUCAUUCUCCAUAAUUUUGUCCUGUUGAUAAGUUUAUGAGAAAUUAGAUAACAUCUUUCACUUUUGUGAUUCAUUAUUUUCUGUCUUUUAUAUAUUCUCAGAUUAUUAUUUACCUUAUUCUUGAUCGAUUAGAAUCUGUUUGGUUAAUUUACAUUCUUGAUUCACUGAAGUUACAUGAAAUUAAUAUGCAUUUCUCAAUGUUAAUGUACAACUAUUGAGAUGCAACACAAAUGUUGUGCAUGCUCACAAGUCACAGGGGAAAAAGUACGAACUCGAGAUGAUGUAGACUUCGUAGCUGAACAUUAACUAAGUAUCGACUUUAUCGAACAUCUGUUGGAAUACUUCUUUUGAUGAAGUAAUAGAUUUUACAGAAAGGACAUCAAGAAAAUGCAAUUAGUUCAAUAUUGAACAUCUACUGUAGUUUUAAUACAACUAUUAAUUGGAUAUGCAACUUCCUGGUGCUAUACAGGUAGGGGUGUAAAUGUGCUCUUUUAGGACAGAGCUUGAAUGAGCAUACAUUUGUGCGUCUGUGCUUGACAAACUUGGUGUGAUGAUGGGUCCAACUGUUUAAGCUAAUACUCAUAAAAGUUUUUAUGUGUAAACAUGUUAAAGAAAAUACUUGAUAAAAUUUCAUAUUAUACUCUUUUCCCUUAAUUUUUUUAUCAGUAAGUGAGGCUAAGCUUUGACACUAUAAGUUUAGUUAAAUGAAUAGUGAGAUAGUCUUUUGUAGUUAUGUUUAAUGAUUAUGAUUCAUUUAUUCUUAAUCAAAACAUACAAGAAGAUAGUAAAUGUAGGAGAUAAACUAGAAGAAGAUGAUAGCUAACAAAAGAAAAUCUGAGUCUUAGCUAACAAAGUUUAGAAAGUCGAAGAAAGAUCAAUGUACAACUACGAUUUGUAUUUAUACACAACCUGAAUGAACGGCUGAAUUGGCCAAUCUUGCACUAACUGAGGCCUCAAUUAACUAACUACCGUCACAGUGUUAACUAACUCUUUUGAAAUACUAACUGCCUAACAUAAUUUUAUUAGUCGUUGUGCAGGAAAAGUUGUACAGAUUUCUAGGUUUAGUUAUUUAAAGAAAAAAGUGAGGGUGUGUCCCUUAUUUCUCUGAGAAAUUGUUCUUGCUUCUUCUUAGCGAAAAUUUAUCAAAAAUAUGACUUCUUAUCUAAUUAGUAUUGUUGCUUUGAGUUACGAUUUUUCAUUUGUAUAUUUUAUUGUUGCAUAUGCUUUCGUCUAUUUGGAUUUUUGAUUGCGCAUAUCACAUUGAAUUUUCACCUCUUCUACUAAAGACAACGCUAGCCUUUGUAUAACAACAAAGACACAAUGUAUCCGCAUAGAAGAGAAUUCUAUUUCAUCAUGAUAGUUACUAUUUGACAGCCUUUAAUAUUAGUUGACGUAGCUAAUGGAGAACAUUACAGAUAAAGAAGUCGUUGAAAAUAUAGCAAACUUGAUGUCAUUUAAUGAUGUAUGCAUCUGUAGUUGUGAUGAUUAUUAUUUUGCUAUGGAAGACAGCUAUGCUACAUAGUAAGUUAUCUACAAUUUGAUAUUUCCGUAAUUCAUUUAUCAAUGGCUGUAAAGAUUGCCUACUACCUUUCAGCUGUCAUCAAUGUACUUAUUUUCAAAGCUCUGCAGACAUCACCAUCAGUUGUUGCUGCUUGAUUGGCUGUUGAUAAUCUUAUUUGUAUAUUAUACUUCACAAUAGUGUUUGCAUUGACUUCUAAUAUACCUACUGAGAUUACUCAAUUAGCCACUAGUAUGUACACCAUUCAAAUGAUAAAAUAUUUCAAUGCUCCUUGUCAUGUCAAUUAUUAUUUUCUAUCUUCUGUUCCAUCCAUGUUGUAAUAGUAAAAUUUAAAAUGCCUCAAAGUCUUUAUGAAUCAUCAGAAUGGAAAGUCAAAUUAAAGACUCUUGAAUUAUGGUUAUGUUGAAAUUUUAUUCCCUAUCAAGUAGUAGAGUUAUUUGUUGUUUAUCUAAAAUACCCAUAACCGGAGCGCUAGACCAAUUCAUAAGCCUUGUAAAUUAGGUUGGAUUGAUUGACCAAAAGCUUAGGCGCUCAUUGAUCGGAGGUGAAAAGGCUAGACCAAAAUCUACAGUAGCUUAAUUUGUACUACCUAAAUUUGUUUUAAGUUUCUAGGACUAGAUAAAUUUGUACUACCUAGGAUCACGAUGCAUGUUGUAUUAGUAGAAAAUCUGCACUAGCAAAAUCUAUUCGAAGUGUGUAGAAACACCCCCAAAACCCUUGAAUCCCAAAUCGAACUUCCCAACAUAUCCCAAAACAUUGUAUGUAUCUACAGGUAGCUUUACAUCAAGGAAUGGGGUGCUAAUACUUAAAAUGAGGCGUUGGAUUGUUACAUAUAGAUUCUCUCAUCAAAACCUUUAGUUUUUUUCUAGUUCUUUAUCAGUUUUUUCUAUCUUUGUUUUGACAUUUUCAACUGCUUUGGGACUGUGUUGGCUCUUUGGAUGGUUUUGAUGCAAUCACUUGAUUUAGAUGGCUAGAAGAUAGUUGUCGCUCUUGUGGGAAGACACAUAGGUUUGCUUCAUACUCAUUUUCUUUUACAACAACAUUUCAGGUACUUGCUGUGAUGCUUAUUUCUGAAAGUGUGUUAACUUCACUUGAUUAAUCAUUUGAUAACUUAAGUGCUAUGUUUUGCAUUGUACAAAAGGAAGGUGGGGAAAUCCUCAUAAAAAUAACAAUGCAUAAAUUUAGAAAGAAUAUCUUCUAAAAAUAUAAAAUAGGAAAAAAAUAUUGAUGAAGAAAAGAACAAAUUGGCCGAGAAAACAACAAUUUAUGGGGAAAAAUUAAUCACCUCAAAUCCUUAGGUUGAAAAGAAUAAAGGACCUAUGCAGCAAAUUCCAACCUCCCGUCAAGUGUACUCAAACAACCACGUCUUCAUAUAAAGAGGAGGGAGUGUUGAAUGGUCCUCAGGGCUAACAGUGAGGAUUUUAGAUGUUUUGAAUUGUACCUGCAACUAACACUGAGGAUUUUGGGAGACCAGAAGAACAAAUUUGGGAAAUAGGAGUUUUGAAUCGUGCUCAAAGCAAGGUGAACAUCAACAAACUUCAGUCCCACGUAGCUAAAAGAAUGUGUUUUAUAUUCAGCUGAAAGGAAUGCAAAAUAACAUUAUAUAAUAUUAGUAUGGAUUGAGCAUUUUGAACAUACUAUAGCUCAAUGAUGAACAACCAUUUCUAAAUUAAUCUAAAAAGGUAGAUAGAUGAAUUUACAACUUGAUAGGUCCAUUUAAACUGAUCGAUCAAUCUACUGUUUCUAUUUCUUAGAUUUGCUAUAGUAGUGCAAUGACAUGGCAUCUCUACUUCAACUAUUGACUAUAAACAGUGGAACAGUUCCUUUGAUAAGAUAUGUAUAUAAAAUAUAUAUCAUGUUCUAAUUACCUAUUUUUAAUAAUUGCGAGCUCUGAAUGUUGAGAACUGAUUUUUCAAAUAACAAUUUGUAUUGUUUUGUAAAUAGAAGGAACAUUUCACCACUUUGGAUCAUAUUGAAGAAAAUCUUCGUGUGACGAAGAAUCACUGCUAAAAUUGAAUAUUGUCACUAAUGGAAUAGCAGUAGCUCUGCUAAAAUUGAAUAUUGUCACUAAUGGAAUAGCAGUAGCUCGGAGAAGCUAAUGUACGCUGAAAAUCAGCUGUUGAAACAGUGAUGGAUGUGUGCGAGGAAGGAACUAAAACAAAACUAGCGACUCUGUACGAUAGAAAUUUUUUUAAAAAGACAGAUAUGCUCCUUCACCCUUGUUAUUAUGAAAAUAUCAUGCUUUUGUGUUCUUCCAUAGUUCGAUAACAAAGAGACAUGCCCCUGGGUUGUACAAGUAUUAAUAAAUAUAUGUAUGUAAACUUUGCUAGAGUUGCUGCAAGUACUUGGUAACGUUUGAUAUUGUA